CUACCCGCCAGGGGACUACAAGCACUAGCUUAAAACCCAAAGGACUUGGCGGUGCCUCAAACCCAUCUAGAGGAGCCUGUUCUAUAACUGAUAAUCCUCGUUAAACCUCACCACUCCUUGUUAUUUCCGCCUAUAUACCGCCGUCGCCAGCUCACCUUGUGAAAGAUGAAUAGUGAGCUUAAUGGGGAUACCCCAAAACGUCAGGUCGAGGUGUAGCGAAUGGGGUGGGAAGAAAUGGGCUACAUUUUCUGACCACAGAAUACUACGAAAAAUGUCAUGAAACAUGACGUACAGAAGGUGGAUUUAGCAGUAAAGAGAAAGCAGAGUGUUCUCUUGAAAUUGGCUCUGAGGCGCGUACAC
rnacentral:rRNA from 1 species